GUCCAGUGCAGAUAUAAAGAAAGGAUUCCUGGUUCUGCUUCCUGGGAGACUGUCAUGUGACCAAGAAGCUGCACAGACACUGAGAGAAGGCCAGAGAUGCAACACAGUGUUUUCCCAUUUGACCGAGACCUGAAAAACAAGUCACACAGAGCAAAGGAAGAAACUGGUGGAAGCAGGAUGAAACGGAGUAGACAACUCAACAACUGGCUCGCAGCCUGUUUGCCUGACUACUUGCCCCCAAGCCAUACCGCAUACCUCACACCGCCAUGGACAGAGCUCAUGGCGCAGCACACCUCCAUCACACCGCAGCGUUAACGGUUCCCCAGCUCAGCAUAUUAAUAAUGCAGCGUCUUCAUCAACCAGACGGAAAACUGAUAAAGUUGUGUGUCAUCAGUACGUUGUGGGAUCUUAAUUUGCGACGCAAAAGUUCAAACAUGGGCCCUGAAUAAAAUCUGUUGUAUUGUUCGAAGUUUUUCUGGGGUUUCUAUUAGAGGUUACUGUGAAGAAUUUUUGCUUUUAAAAUAAAACUGUAACUAUAAGCA